AGCGAACGCUGGCGGCAGGCCUAACACAUGCAAGUCGAACGAAGUCUUCGGACUUAGUGGCGGACGGGUGAGUAACACGUGGGAACGUGCCUUUAGGUUCGGAAUAACUCAGGGAAACUUGUGCUAAUACCGAAUGUGCCCUUCGGGGGAAAGAUUUAUCGCCUUUAGAGCGGCCCGCGUCUGAUUAGCUAGUUGGUGAGGUAAAGGCUCACCAAGGCGACGAUCAGUAGCUGGUCUGAGAGGAUGAUCAGCCACAUUGGGACUGAGACGCGGCCCAAACUCCUACGGGAGGCGGCAGUGGGGAAUCUUGCGCAAUGGGCGAAAGCCUGACGCAGCCAUGCCGCGUGAAUGAUGAAGGUCUUAGGAUUGUAAAAUUCUUUCACCGGGGACGAUAAUGACGGUACCCGGAGAAGAAGCCGCGGCUAACUUCGUGCCAGCAGCCGCCGCAGUAA
rnacentral:rRNA from 1 species